AUUGAACGCUGGCGGCACGCUUUACACAUGCAAGUCGAACGGUAACAGCAGAAGCUUGCUUCUGGCUGACGAGUGGCGGACGGGUGAGUAACGCGUGGGAAUCUACCUAGUAGCGGGGGACAACUCGAGGAAACUCGAGCUAAUACCGCAUAAUCCCUUCGGGGGAAAGGCUUCGGCCACUAUUAGAUGAGCCCGCGUCCGAUUAGCUUGUUGGUGGGGUAAUGGCCUACCAAGGCGACGAUCGGUAGCUGGUCUGAGAGGAUGAUCAGCCACACCGGGACUGAGACACGGCCCGGACUCCUACGGGAGGCAGCAGUGGGGAAUAUUGGACAAUGGGGGCAACCCUGAUCCGGCCAUACCGCGUGUGUGAAGAAGGCCUUCGGUUGUAAG
rnacentral:rRNA from 1 species